rnacentral:ncRNA from 2 species
AUGAAUGGAUGAGGAGCAAAAAUCAUCAGUACUCGUUUUUAUACGGACCUGUAAGUCUAAAAUGAGGAAAGGGAGAUUUGCCGAAAUCGUUUGCUUUUACAGAGAGCAAACCGUUGGGCUGCAUAUGAAGAAUCUGCAGACUGCCGUAUAGCUAUAGGCUAAACGGAGUGCUUCCGCUUGU